rnacentral:rRNA from 1 species
UUGGGUGGCGAGUGGCGGACGGGUGAGGAAAACGUCGGAAUCUGCCUAUUUGUGGGGGAUAACGUAGGGUAACUUACGCUAAUACCGCAUACGACCUACGGGUGAAAGCGGAGGACCUUCGGGCUUCGCGCAGAUAGAUGAGCCGACGUCGGAUUAGCUAGUUGGCGGGGUAAAGGCCCACCAAGGCGACGAUCCGUAGCUGGUCUGAGAGGAUGAUCAGCCACACUGGAACUGAGACACGGUCCAGACUCCUACGGGAGGCAGCAGUGGGGAAUAUUGGACAAUGGGCGCAAGCCUGAUCCAGCCAUGCCGCGUGUGUGAAGAAGGCCUUCGGGUUGUAAAGCACUUUUGUCCGGAAAGAAAAGCACUGGGUUAAUACCCUGGUGUCAUGACGGUACCGGAAGAAUAAGCACCGGCUAACUUCGUGCCAGCAGCCGCGGUAAUACGAAGGGUGCAAGCGUUACUCGGAAUUACUGGGCGUAAAGCGUGCGUAGGCGGUUUGUUAAGUCUGAUGUGAAAGCCCUGGGCUCAACCUGGGA